UUUGCGAUGUUGCAUUUUUUCAACAUAGAAUUGAAGUCCUAUACAACUAUAUUACAUAUUCACUUGCAUAACCUUACUUUAUCCCAUCAUACCAUCAUCUUGGAGUAGGCAUUUUAAUUUACGCUCAAGCUUAUCCAUAACAGCCUCAUUUGUUCCAGAUUGUUUUUGCUAUUAUAGCGAAGUGCAUUUAUCGUCAGCAGCGCAUACGCGCCGCAAGCGGGCUUAGAUGACGAGGUUAAGAGGCGCUUUUGGGAGGGCUUGGAUGAUCUGGUGAGUAGUAUUCGCCAAUCUGAGAAGUAAGUUAUUGGAGGGAACUUUAAUGGUCAUAUUGGGGCUGAUGCUGGUGGUUAUGGUGAGGUGCACGGUGGCUUCGACCUUGGGGUUAGGAACGGAGGAGGCACUUCACUACUUGAUUUCGCCAGGGCUUCCGAGCUUCUGAUUGCGAACUCGACAUUUCAGAAGAGGGAGGAGCAUUUGGUCACCUUCAANNNNNNNNNNNNNNNNNNNNNNNNNNNNNAGAGGGAGGAGCAUUUGGUCACCUUCAAGAGUUCAGCGGCGAGGACUCAGAUUGAUUACCUCUUCCUCAGAAGGAGCGAUAUGGGUAUGUGCAAGGACUACAAGGUCAUUCCGGGAGAAACCCUUUCGACUCUUCAAAGACUCCUAGUGAUGGAUGUUGGUCUCUGGGUGAAGAGGAAGAGGAGAGCUGCUCGGGGACAACCGCGGAUUCGAUGGGUGUUUUGACUAAGGAGAAAGCACAGGAGUUGGAGAGGAGGUUAGUUGAGGGCGGAGCUUGNN
rnacentral:lncRNA from 1 species